GCAAGAGUCAGGAUAAGAAGUAUGACACUCACAGUGAAAGCACAAAACAUCAAGCCAACAGUUCAGGACUAGUCAUUCAAAUGGACUAAAGGUGGGGGAGAAAAAAUAAGAGUGGAUAAAAGAAAGAAAGAAAACAGAGAAAGGUGGGAAAAAAAAAACAAAGGAAGGAAGAGAGAAAAGAGAAUGAGAGGAAGAGAAGGAAGGGGAAAAACAAGAUUGACUUUACAGUAUGAGAUAUACUAUUAUAUAUUGGACCCUUGGUGGGCAGUGCCUAAACAGAGACAACUACAGGUUUCUGGCUGUGGCCACUCUCUGGUGAAACUAAGGGGUUUCUGUGUGGAGGUGCCUAACAGCCACCGUCCAGUUUGGGUAAAGAAAGCUUUUUAUGGUUCACUAAGGACAAUCAACCCCUUCGCAAUCUAGAACCAAAAGACUGGAUCUUCUGAGAACAUCUACUGUAAGAACUAUAGUUACACAACAGACUUUGAAUUCUCUUGUGAAAGUUAAGGUAGAAUUGGCUGAACAGAGGAGUAUCUGUGCGGCUGCUGGCAUUUGUGGCUUAUGGAGAAACACAUUAAAUGAAGAUUACAGAGAUUCAUUGGCAGGGGAUUAACAGAGAUUGCUUAAUUAAUAGUAUGAUGCCUCUGGCUUCCCUCUAUCACACGUCUUCUUUUCGAGUAAAGGUUUUUCAUAAAUGUGAGCGUGGAAGAAGAAACCAGUUAAAUAUGGAACUUCACACCAGGACACAAAAGGACUUCAAACUUUUAGAUUCCACAAGUAUGUGAAAAGAUGCAGUAUUUGUCUUUCUGUGCAUGGUUUACUUCACUUAUCAUCAUGUCCCUCAGGUUCAUCCACGUUGUUGCAAAUGACAGGAUUUCAUUCAUUUUUAAGACUGAAUAGUACUCCAUUAUGCAAAUAUACCAGAUUUUCAUUGUCUAUUCGUUCACUGAUGAACACGGGUUAAUCCUAUAUGUUGGCUAUUGUGAAUAAAGCUGCAAUGAAUAUGAGAGUACAGAUAUAUUCUUGACAUAUUAAUUUUAUUUUAUUUGGCAAUAUACCCAAUAGUAGCUAGAUCAUAUCAGAGUUCUAUUUUUAAUUUUUGAGGAAACUUCAUACUGUUUUUCAUAAUAGUUAUUACUAAUUUACACUCAGUAUACAAGAGUUCCCUUUUCUCCACAUUCUUUCCAAAAUUUGUUUCCUUUUCCCUUUUUGAUAACAGCUACUCUAACUGGGGUGAAAUAAUAUCUCACUGUGGUUUUAAUUUUCAUUUAUCUGAUUAAUGAUUUUGAGCUUUUUAAAAUAAAUACUUGUUGGCAAUUUGUAUGUCAUCUUUUGAGAAGUGUCUAUUAAAAUUUGUUUGCCUAUUU
rnacentral:lncRNA from 10 species